rnacentral:rRNA from 1 species
UACGGGGGAUGCAAGCGUUAUCCGGAAUUAUUGGGCGUAAAGCGCCUGUAGGUUGUUUAAUAAGUCUGAUAUUAAAGACUAGGGCUCAACCCUAGAAAAAUACUAGAAACUGUUAAGCUUGAGUAUGGUAGAGGUAGAGGGAAUUUCUAGUGUAGCGGUGAAAUGCGUAGAUAUUAGAAAGAACACCGGUGGCGAAAGCGCUCUACUGGGCCAUUACUGACACUCAGAGGCGAAAGCUAGGGGAGCAAAAGGGAUUAGAUACCCCUGUAGUCCUAGCCGUAAACGAUGGAUACUAGGUGUUGUAUUUUUUUACAGUAUCGUAGCUAACGCGUUAAGUAUCCCGCCUGGGGAGUACGCUCGCAAGGGUG